GACAGAGGUGCCAAGCGUUAGGCGGAAUCACUGGGCUUAAAGCGUGUGUAGGCGGAUCGUUAAGUACCUUGUGAAAUCCCACGGCUCACCCGUGGAACUGCUCGGUAUACUGGCGGUCUUGAGCCACUUAGGGGCUGUCGGAACAGACGGUGGAGCGGUGAAAUGCGUAGAUAUCGUCUGGAACGCCAAUGGUGAAAACAGCUCGCUGGGGAUGUGCCGACGCUGAGAUACGAAAGCCAGGGGAGCGAACGGG
rnacentral:rRNA from 1 species